GCUCCCAAAGGCACGUGUC
rnacentral:sRNA from 1 species